CGACGAUGGCGGCUGCGGACAGAGGAAGAGUCCGGGGGAGCGCCGCUCUCCCUCCGGCAGCCCCGGACCUCAUCCCCGGGUCCGGGGCUGCCGGAGGGGAGCCUGACGGCCGCGCCCCGGUUCCGAUGAACCUGUUUGCGACCUGGGAGAUCGACCGGUCCUCUCCGAGCUGCGUGCCCAGGCUGUGCAGUCUGACUCUGAAGAGGCUGAGGGUUUUAAAGGAGCUGGACAAAGAGCUCUGCUCCGUUGUGAUCGCUAUUAAGAUCCAGGGUUCGAAGCGGACUUUGAGAUCUAACGAGUACCUUCUCCCUCCGGACGGCCUGAUUGAGACGGACCUGGAGCUCACCUUCUCACUGCAGUAUCCUCACUUCCUGAAGCGGGAUGUGAACCGUCUGCAUGUGAUGCUGCAGAGGAGGAAGAGGUACAAGAACCGGACCAUCCUGGGCUACAAAACCCUCGCAGUGGGCGUCAUCAACAUGUCCGAGGUGAUGCAGCUUCCGACAGACGGAGCCCACAUCCUCGGUCUCCAUGGCAACCUGAAGGACUCCUCGCCUCGUGUGGUGGAGCUGAGCGUCCAAUCGCUAAGCAGCCAGCCAAUCGAGCAGGAGGACACAAGUGGUCACCACGGCAACAAGAGCAAGGCCUCAGACCGCUCUCCUGACAUGGAGAACUACUGGGAGGACGAUGACGACAGCUUCUCCUCCGAACAGGAAGGAAGUGAUGAUGCCGUCCCGCCUCAGGACUUGUAUGAUGAUGACGACGACGUCCAGGGAAAGACGAAGAAGACUCGCAGGACAAUGAUCCGAACAGCCUCCCUGACGCAGCAACCGAACUUCAAACAGAAGUUUGUGGCUCUGCUGAGAAGAUUCAAAGUGACCGAUGAGGUUCUGGACUCAGACCCGGUGGGUCGCAGUCAGGAGGCCGAGGAGGACCUGGACCUGCUGUACGACAGUCUGGAGAUUUACAACCCGAGCGACAGCGGCCCUGAGCUGGACGACAACGACAGCAUCCUGAGCACGCCCAAACCCAAACUAAGGCCUUUCUUUGACGGGAUUUCUCAUUCGAUCUCUCAGACUGAUAUUGGGAGUCAGAGGGGCCAACAUGGAGAAGAAACUGCAGCUGAUGCAGAGCUGCAGUCUCCAGGGAGUCCUGGAGCUCAGGGGCCCAGAUUCCCUGAUGAGUGUAAAGGAGAUAAGGCCGGCCCCGGGGAAGUUCAGGAUGAGGCAGGACCGGCUGCCAAGCUCUGUAAAACUGAAUCCCACAUGUCACCGAGUAAGACAGGAAGUCAGCUCUCUCGCCAUCCUUGGAGUGCCGCCAUGAAGGACAGACAGAACUCUAGAGGGACAGACAGAACCAGCAGCGUCGACAGUGAGACGUCGUCUGACUACAGGAUACCUCCUCCACAGGUUGCCAGGAAGUCGGUCCUGGAUCAGCUGAACCACAUCCUGUUCUCUGAGGAUCAGAUUCCUGAUUCCAUCGUCCUGAUCAACACCACGGACUGGCAGGGACAGUAUCUGUCGGAGCUUCUCUUCGAUCAACCAAUCGUCUGCACCGUCUCAGCGGCGGAUGUUCAGGCCGCCUUCAGCGCCAUCAUCAGCCGGAUCCAGAGAUUCUGUAACUGUAAUGCCCAGACGCCGCCCGCCGUGAAGGUGGCGGUGGGCGGAGACCAAAGCUACCUAAGCACCGUCCUCUGCUGCUUUGUGGAGCAGCUGGCCAGCAAGACGACCGAUUGGCUGAGCUACGUCCGCUUCCUCAUCCUGCCUAUCGGAGCCCACCCGCUGGCCAAGUACCUGGCCACCCUGGACAAUAAGUUCAACAGCCUGUUCAUGGACGCCGGCUGGAGGGAGCUGUUCGGACGUCUGGAGUCUCCUCCUCUUGACGCUGUGGGUGUAGCAGGGCGAGUGUCUCAGUAUCUGAGCGGAGCUGAUGUUUCUCACCUGUGUCCCAUCUCAGAGGCCAUGCUGACCUGCAAACACAAGAGCCCCGACGACGAUUCCUGCCAGAAGUUUGUUCCUUUUAUUGGGUCGUGUUCUCAGCUGGUGAAGGUUGGCAUCGUGGAGCAGAACCCCCGCUCCACCUCAGUCGACUCUGAUGACUUCACACUGGGCUCUCCUCCCGCCCAAUCAGGAGCUCCGAUCAGCUUCACCUCCACUCCCCCCCCCCUCCCCCUCCAUCAGCUGUCCAGUGGAGGUGAUGGGUCUGCAGGUGGACUACUGGAGCUGUCAGGGAGGAGGAGGAGAGCGCAGGAGGGAGGUGGGGAUGAAGAACACUCUGAAGAGCAACUUCCGCUAUCUGCAGGUGUCGAGGAUCAGCGGAGGAGAAAUGAUGAGCAUGACGGUGGUGACCAAAGAGAAGAACAAGAAAGUCAUGUUCCUCAGUAAGAAGACGAAGGAGAAGGAGGCGGAGUCGAGGAGUCAGCUGAUCGAGGGAAUCAGCCGACUGAUCUGUACCUCCAAACACCAACACACACUGAGAGUCUCUAUAGACGGAGUCGAGUGGAACGACGUCAAGUUCUUCCAGCUGGCGGCUCAGUGGCCGACUCAUGUCAAACACUUCCCCGUGGGGAUCUUCAGCUACAGCAAACCCUGAAGCAUCUUCCCUCUCUGCUGUCUUCAGAUGCUUCACUAUAAGAAUCAACAUGUCGCUUACGUUUAAUCAGGAAAAUGUACUUUAAGUAUUAAAGGUUAAAGUACAGAGAAAUGUGACUGUAGAAUUAUACGUGAUAUAAUUAUGUUAAUAAUGAAUGUAAACGCAGGUUCUACUGGUUCUCUGGUUCUACUAGUUCUCUGGUUCUACUACUUCUCUGGUUCUACUGGUUCUACUGGUUCUACUGGUUCCCUGUUUCUACUAGUUCUCUGGUUCUCUGGUUCUACUAGUUAUCUGG